rnacentral:rRNA from 1 species
CCCUUAGAUGUUCUGGGCUGCACGCGCGCUACACUGAAGCUAUCAACACGUUUUCCCUCCCUGAGAAGGGCGGGUAACCUUUUGAAUCAGCUUCGUGGUAGGGAUCGGGGCUUGCAAUUGUUCCCCGUGAACCAGGAAUUCCUAGUAGACGCGAGUCAUAAGCUCGCAUCGAUUAAGUCCCUGCCCUUUGUACACACCGCCCGUCGCUACUACCGAUUGAACGUUUUAGUGAGGCAUUUGGACCGACGCAUCUCAGUUUAACCGUUGGUUUGUGUUGGAAAGACUUCCAAACUUGAGCGUUUAGAGGAAGUAAAAGUCGUAACA